UCUCCGUUGGUGAACCAGCGGAGGGAUCAUUACUGGAAUCGCAAGAUCCCACAACCCUGUGAACCUACCGAAACGUUGCCUCGGCGGGUGCCCGGCCCCCGCGCCGGGCGCUGCGCCCGCCGGCGGCCCCCUACUCUGUCUCUGCAGCGUGGCUUCUCAGAGUCCCAGAAAACAAGUCAAAACUUUCAACAACGGAUCUCUUGGCUCUA
rnacentral:misc_RNA from 1 species